GAGAAGAGUCAGUGGUCCUGAGGUACAGUACUUAAGAUAACCCUGUGAAGGCUGAGAUUGAUAUUUGAAAUUCACAACUGAUCUUGGAGCCUGGUACAGCAGUCAUGGAGCCAUAUUGGAUUGUGAAAGGAACUCAGUUGACCUGGCCUAUUGCAGAUUUAUUCUGAGAAUUUCAAUUCAGUCUUUGCUGCUGUUUGGAAAUCUUUCAUGAAUCUUUUAAUAACUUCCUUACAUACAUCUUGUUCCAUUAAAGCCCCAAAUUUGGCUUUGUCAGCUCUCUUUCUUCAUAAUCUUUAGGAUUUGUUCAUGUGUGGAUGUGAUGGAACUGAAGUCGCUAGGUUCAUGCUACCUGGAACAUGAGACUGACAAAUAGAGGAGCACUGAGUCAAAUGAAUCUCGGAGAAAUGGAGCUGGAAGAAAACUGGAGAAUGAAAGAAAAGAUAUACGCAAAGUGGAUUCUAAUCAUAGAGUUUCAUUCUUGUUGCCCAGGCUGGAGUGCAAUGGUGUGAUCUUGGCUCACCGCAACCUUGACCUCCUAGGUUCAAGUGAUUCUCCUGUCUCAGUCUCCUGAGUAGCUAGUAUUACAGGCAUGCACCACUAUGCCCGGCUAAUUUUGUAUUUUUAGUUGAGAUGGGGUUUCUCCAUGUUGGUCAGGCUGGUCUCGAACUCCCGACCUCAGGUGAUCCACCUGCUUCAGCCUCCCAAAGUGCUGGGAUUACAGGUGUGAGCAGCCGUGCCCUGCUGAAACUUAUUUGUUUGAGCAAUAAAAGCCACAUAUUUCCUCUUUUGA
rnacentral:lncRNA from 1 species